rnacentral:rRNA from 1 species
UGGCGCACGGGUGCGUAACGCGUGGGAAUCUGCCCUUGGGUUCGGAAUAACAGCUAGAAAUGGCUGCUAAUACCGGAUGAUGACGUAAGUCCAAAGAUUUAUCGCCCAAGGAUGAGCCCGCGUAGGAUUAGGUAGUUGGUGGGGUAAAAGCUCACCAAGCCGACGAUCCUUAGCUGGUCUGAGAGGAUGAUCAGCCACACUGGGACUGAGACACGGCCCAG